CCUACGGGAGGCAGCAGUGGGGAAUAUUGCACAAUGGGGGAAACCCUGAUGCAGCGACGCCGCGUGAGUGAAGAAGUAUUUCGGUAUGUAAAGCUCUAUCAGCAGGAACGAGAUAAGCCGUUACCUGACUAAGCAGCCCCGGCUAACUACGUGCCAGCAGCCGCGGUAAUACGUAGGGGGCAAGGGUUAUCGGGAAUUACUGGGGGUAAAGGGAGCGUAGACGGCUGAGCAAGUCUGAAGUGAAAGGCGGGGGCCCAACCCCGGGACUGCAUUGGAAACUGUAAGGCUGGAGUGCAGGAGAGGAAAGUGGAAUUCCUAGUGUAGCGGUGAAAUGCGUAGAUAUUAGGAGGAACACCAGUGGCGAAGGCGGCUUACUGGACUGUAACUGACGUUGAGGCUCGAAAGCGUGGGGAGCAAACAGGAUUAGAUACCCGUGUAGUC
rnacentral:rRNA from 1 species